rnacentral:rRNA from 1 species
ACGGGAGGCAGCAGCUAAGAAUAUUCCGCAAUGGACGAAAGUCUGACGGAGCGACGCCGCGUGGAUGAUGAAGGCCGGAAGGUUGUAAAAUCCUUUUAUAACUGAGGAAUAAGUAAGGUGAGAGAAACGCCUUAUGGUGACUGUAGGUUAUGAAUAAGCAACGGCUAAUUACGUGCCAGCAGCCGCGGUAACACGUAAGUUGCGAGCGUUGUUCGGAAUUAUUGGGCGUAAAGGGCAUGUAGGCGGUUUUGCAAGCUUGGUGUGAAAUCCCGGAGCUUAACUCCGGAAUUGCGUUGAGAACUGCAUAACUAGAGUCACUGAGGGGCAAUCAGAAUUCCUGGUGUAGGGGUGAAAUCUGUAGAUAUCAGGAAGAAUACCAAUGGCGAAGGCAGCCUGCCAGCAGAUGACUGACGCUGAGGUGCGAAGGUGCGGGGAGCAAACAGGAUUAGAUACCCUGGUA